rnacentral:rRNA from 1 species
GUGUCAGCCGCCGCGGUAAUACGUAGGGUGCGAGCGUUAAUCGGAAUUACUGGGCGUAAAGCGUGCGCAGGCGGUUAUGUAAGACAAAUGUGAAAUCCCCGGGCUCAACCUGGGAACUGCAUUUGUGACUGCAUGGCUAGAGUACGGUAGAGGGGGAUGGAAUUCCGCGUGUAGCAGUGAAAUGCGUAGAUAUGCGGAGGAACACCGAUGGCGAAGGCAAUCCCCUGGACCUGUACUGACGCUCAUGCACGAAAGCGUGGGGAGCAAACAGGAUUAGAAACCCUCGUAGUCC